rnacentral:rRNA from 1 species
UACGUAGGGUGCGAGCGUUGUCCGGAAUUACUGGGCGUAAAGAGUUCGUAGGCGGUUUGUCGCGUCGUUCGUGAAAACUUGGGGCUUAACUCCAAGCGUGCGGGCGAUACGGGCAGACUUGAGUACUACAGGGGAGACUGGAAUUCCUGGUGUAGCGGUGAAAUGCGCAGAUAUCAGGAGGAACACCGGUGGCGAAGGCGGGUCUCUGGGUAGUAACUGACGCUGGAGGAACGAAAGCGUGGUAGCGAACAGG